AAAAAGCCUGCAGGGACCAGCUAUAGACACCAGAACCACUUCAUUAAGCUAUAGUGUCCCUUUAAUGUGAGGUACAUUAGAGAUUAGUGUCACUAAUAAUAUACUAGAUUGCCUACUUACAAGCAGAUGAGGAUGAUGAUGGGCUGCAGUUUGGCUCCACUGGUCUGGUGUAGAACAGGAUCUCUGGAGGCUGUUUGCAACUGUGGUCACAAAAUUCAAUGUUCU